AAACUGAGUAAUGCGAUUAAGGAUGUCCGACUUUCAAGUCUUUGGUUUCUAACUAUUGACAAAUUGAGCAUGCCAGCUAUGAAUUAUUUUAUUGUUGUGCAGGGCUCUCCAAUUGGAUCAAUGAGAAAGGGGUAAGGGCAGCAAUGGAAGAGUGUCAAAAACUAGGGUUACCAAAUUAAUUAGCGUCUGUAAGAAGCUUUCAGAUAUUCUUGGUAUAGCAGAGAUCUCUCCUGCUGUUAAUCAAUGUAAUUCAUAUUUGCAGUACAAUUCAAUCCUUGCAAGAAACUUAAAAUGGCUACAACUCUUGAAUUUCACGAAAUUUUCAAUUAUGCCUUAGAUGGCAUAUGAGCAGGGAAAGGAGAGGAUGAAAGAAAAUCUCAAAGAAAAUUCUAAGAAGAUCAGUCAAAUUACAUAGAGUAUUAUUAUAUUUUAUUUUGCAAUUAAAAUUUGUGAAGGCGCUGUUGGUAUAUUCCAAGUAAAAAGAUAGUUGGCCAUUUUAAUCCUAAGGUAGCCGAAGUUGUGGCAAUUCGAGAAGUUUAAGUUGCUUUAAAGACAAUGGAUGGAAAAAUGUGCAAGUUGAAUUAGAUGCCCAAUUGGUGAUAAAAGAAGCUAUCAAUGCUAACAGUAAUGGAGAUGUUAGUUAUUUUGGGUGGGUCCGUUAUUCAUGAUGCUAAAUCUCUAAUCACAUAGAUAAGUAAUGGUCAAAUGCUUUUUGUCCGUAGAUAUGCGAAUGAAGUAGCUCACGUGUUAGUAAGGGCAAUUCAUUCUAUAUCAGAUUGACUGCAAUGAAUUAUUUUACCACCUA